GGGCCGGUAGCUCAGUUGGUAGAGCACGGGACUUUUAAUCUCGCGGCCCCGGGUUCGAGUCCCGGCCGGCUCACCA
rnacentral:tRNA from 2 species